CUUCUCAAGCACUCUCUGUUCAGAGAAUAGAAGAGAUGAACAUUAGGGGUUGAAAUUAGACUCCUGCCUGAACCAGGGAUUCCAACAAGGAACGCAAGCAAAUCCGGAAAUCCUUUACCAGCAGAUAGCCAGUUCUCAAUGCUACCCCUGUGGGGAAUGUGGCAAGUGCCACUCUCCUUGUUUUCCAGCUGGGAGGCCUGGGUCACAGAAAGGUUCUAAGUCCUGCAAUGGGGGAGGGAAUGCAAGUCUGUCACCCUUUCCUUCACCACUCUGGCUUUGGACCAAAGAACAAGGUGCUGGAAGGCAAAACUGAAGAGUAAACCAACAAUGGAUGUGG
rnacentral:lncRNA from 1 species